GAGCCCCAGCCCCGGGAGUAACAGGUGUUCCCAUUCUGUGAUCAGCACAGAACAUAGACACCUCACCAUGGAGUUUGUGCUUGCCUGGGUUUUCCUUGUUGCUCUUUUAAAAGGUGUCCAGUGUGACGUGCAGCUGGUGGAGUCUGGGGGAGACCUGGUGAAGCCUGGAGGGUCCCUGAGACUCACCUGUGUGGUCUCUGGAUUCACCUUCAGUGGCUAUAGCAUACACUGGGUCCGCCAGGCUCCAGGGAAGGGGCUGCAGUGGGUCGCACACAUUUAUGAUGAUGGAAGUAGCACAAGCUACACAGACUCCGUGAAGGGCCGAUUCACCAUCUCCAGAGACAACGCCAAGAACACGCUGUAUCUGCAGAUGAACAGCCUGAAGCCCGAGGACACGGCCACAUAUUACUGUGCAAGAGACACAGAUUCUGUGUUUAUCUAUCAACUCUCUGAAUUGGCAACUGUGUUGUCAUAG